AAGGUACUCCCUUCGUCCCAAAAUUCUUGUCUUAGAUUUGUCAAGAUAUGGAUGUAUCAAGUCACAUUUUAGUAUUAGAUAUAUCUGUAUCUACACAAAUCUAAGACAAGAAAUUUGGGACAGAGGGAGUAGUUG
rfam:Triticum aestivum genome assembly, contig: Triticum_aestivum_CS42_TGACv1_scaffold_113567_2AS